rnacentral:rRNA from 1 species
GUCAGCAGACCAUAUCACCCUGCAACUCACACAUUGAAGCUACGCAGGUGUGAGCCUGGUCAGUACCUGGAUGGGAGACCUCCUGGGAAAAACUAAGGUUGCUGCUGGAA